rnacentral:rRNA from 1 species
AGGUUAAGUGAAUAAGGGCGCACGGUGGAUGCCUUGGCACUAGGAGCCGAUGAAGGACGGGACUAACACCGAUAUGCUUUGGGGAGCUGUAAGUAAGCUAUGAUCCAGAGAUUUCCGAAUGGGGGAACCCAAUAUCUUUUAUAGGAUAUUACUUUUCAGUGAAUACAUAGCUGAUUAGAGGUAGACGCAGAGAACUGAAACAUCUUAGUACCUGCAGGAAGAGAAAGAAAAUUCGAUUCCCUGAGUAGCGGCGAGCGAAACGGGAAGAGCCCAAACCAACAAGCUUGCUUGUUGGGGUUGUAGGACUCCAAUAUGGUAGUCUGUUAGUAUAGUUGAAGGAUUUGGAAAAUUCCGCUAAAGAGGGUGAAAGCCCCGUAGACGAAAUGCUAACAACACCUAGGAGGAUCCUGAGUACGGCGGAACACGAGAAAUUCCGUCGGAAUCCGCGGGGACCAUCCCGCAAGGCUAAAUACUCCCUAGUGACCGAUAGUGAACCAGUACCGUGAGGGAAAGGUGAAAAGCACCCCGGAAGGGGAGUGAAAUAGAUCCUGAAACCGUGUGCCUACAACAAGUCAAAGCUCGUUAAUGAGUGAUGGCGUGCCUUUUGUAGAAUGAACCGGCGAGUUACGAUUGCAUGCGAGGUUAAGUCGAAGAGACGGAGCCGCAGCGAAAGCGAGUCUGAAUAGGGCGAAUGAGUAUGUAGUCGUAGACCCGAAACCAUGUGAUCUACCCAUGUCCAGGUUGAAGGUGCGGUAAAACGCACUGGAGGACCGAACCCACGUACGUUGAAAAGUGCGGGGAUGAGGUGUGGGUAGCGGAGAAAUUCCAAACGAACUUGGAGAUAGCUGGUUCUCUCCGAAAUAGCCUUAGGGCUAGCCUCGGAAUUGAGAAUGAUGGAGGUAGAGCACUGUUUGGACUAGGGGCCCAUCUCGGGUUACCGAAUUCAGAUAAACUCCGAAUGCCAUUCAUUUAUAUCCGGGAGUCAGACUGCGAGUGAUAAGAUCCGUAGUCGAAAGGGAAACAGCCCAGACCACCAGCUAAGGUCCCAAAAUAUAUGUUAAGUGGAAAAGGAUGUGGGGUUGCACAGACAACUAGGAUGUUGGCUUAGAAGCAGCCACCAUUUAAAGAGUGCGUAAUAGCUCACUAGUCGAGUGACCCUGCGCCGAAAAUGUACCGGGGCUAAACAUAUUACCGAAGCUGUGGACUACACCAUUAGGUGUAGUGGUAGGAGAGCGUUCUAAGGGCGUUGAAGGUCGAUCGUGAGGACGGCUGGAGCGCUUAGAAGUGAGAAUGCCGGUAUGAGUAGCGAAAGACAGGUGAGAAUCCUGUCCACCGUAUGACUAAGGUUUCCUGGGGAAGGCUCGUCCGCCCAGGGUUAGUCGGGACCUAAGCCAAGGCCGAUAGGCGUAGGCGAUGGACAACAGGUUGAUAUUCCUGUACCAGUUGUUUUUGUUUGAGCAAUGGAGGGACGCAGUAGGCUAAGGAAUGCAUGCGAUUGGAAGUGCAUGUCCAAGCAAUGAGUCUUGAGUAGAGUUAAAUGCUUUACUCUCUAAGGACAAGUUGUGACGGGGAGCGAAAUAAUAGUAGCGAAGUUCCUGAUGUCACACUGCCAAGAAAAGCUUCUAGUGAGAAAACAACUGCCCGUACCGUAAACCGACACAGGUAGUCGAGGAGAGUAUCCUAAGGUGAGCGAGCGAACUCUCGUUAAGGAACUCGGCAAAAUGACCCCGUAACUUCGGGAGAAGGGGUGCUGACUUCGGUCAGCCGCAGUGAAUAGGCCCAAGCGACUGUUUAUCAAAAACACAGGUCUCUGCAAAAUCGUAAGAUGAAGUAUAGGGGCUGACGCCUGCCCGGUGCUGGAAGGUUAAGAGGAUGGGUUAGCUUCGGCGAAGCUCAGAAUUGAAGCCCCAGUAAACGGCGGCCGUAACUAUAACGGUCCUAAGGUAGCGAAAUUCCUUGUCGGGUAAGUUCCGACCCGCACGAAAGGCGUAACGAUUUGGGCACUGUCUCAACGAGAGACUCGGUGAAAUUUUAGUACCUGUGAAGAUGCAGGUUACCCGCGACAGGACGGAAAGACCCCAUGGAGCUUUACUGUAGUUUGAUAUUGAGUGUUUGUACCACAUGUACAGGAUAGGUAGGAGCCGAUGAGACCGGAACGCUAGUUUCGGAGGAGGCGCUGGUGGGAUACUACCCUUGUGUUAUGAACCCUCUAACCCGCACCACUAAUCGUGGUGGGAGACAGUGUCAGAUGGGCAGUUUGACUGGGGCGGUCGCCUCCUAAAAGGUAACGGAGGCGCCCAAAGGUUCCCUCAGAAUGGUUGGAAAUCAUUCGAAGAGUGUAAAGGCAGAAGGGAGCUUGACUGCGAGACCUACAAGUCGAGCAGGGACGAAAGUCGGGCUUAGUGAUCCGGUGGUUCCGCAUGGAAGGGCCAUCGCUCAACGGAUAAAAGCUACCCUGGGGAUAACAGGCUUAUCUCCCCCAAGAGUCCACAUCGACGGGGAGGUUUGGCACCUCGAUGUCGGCUCGUCGCAUCCUGGGGCUGUAGUCGGUCCCAAGGGUUGGGCUGUUCGCCCAUUAAAGCGGCACGCGAGCUGGGUUCAGAACGUCGUGAGACAGUUCGGUCCCUAUCCGUCGCGGGCGUUGGAAAUUUGAGAGGAGCUGUCCUUAGUACGAGAGGACCGGGAUGGACUUACCGCUGGUGUACCAGUUGUUCUGCCAAGGGCAUUGCUGGGUAGCUAUGUAGGGAAGGGAUAAACGCUGAAAGCAUCUAAGUGUGAAGCCCACCUCAAGAUGAGAUUUCCCAUUUCUUUAAGAAAGUAAGACCCCUGAGAGAUGAUCAGGUAGAUAGGUUGGAAGUGGAAGGCUAGUGAUAGUUGGAGCGGACCAAUACUAAUCGGUCGAGGACUUAACCAAA